rnacentral:lncRNA from 7 species
GUAUAGAGCAGCAAAUCAUCACGGCCAUGUUUUAUCGCAGAUUAUCAGAAGGAUGGAAAAGAGAUCCUUGCCACUCUUCCGUCUGCUGUCUUCUACCUUCUAGCACAGAUAAUGGAUUGUUCCAGAGAGACCCAAUGCUGUAAUUCAUUGGAGACAGUCUUUUAAGAUCAUAGUGCAUUCUCUUCAAACAGGAUAAUCCAAAAAGUAUUUACAAGGUUCUAGUGAUUGAGCAACCAGAAGCUGCCCUUUGCAAUGCUGUAGAGAAAAAGCACCUAUAUCCAUGGAAGCAUGGGAGUGGCAAUGAGAAGUGGGAAGACCUGUGUGCAUCUAGAAAGCACCAGAACCUAACAUCCUGACUUAAGCCAAGGCCAGAUCCUUAAGAAAAAAUGUACAAGAACAAUCCCUUUAUGUUCACUCCAAGCUGCAAGAUUUUUGAACGAAAUGCCUCAUUUGUACUUUACCAGGAAGAUAUCAACUUUACGUAUACCAUAAAAAUCAGGACUUAGAGAUUUGGCGACAUUCUUGGAGAUAUUCGAGGGGAAGAAAUAAGCAACUCCAGUCUAACCAGACGCUAUGAAACACUGGAAAAGAGAAGAAAGAAAAAAGCACAAACAAUUUUGGUAUAUUUAGGCUUUAUAUAUCCAACAACGUGCUCCUUUCGUUUGUUAUAUGUUCACUCUGAUUCCUAAUUAGGUAGCUGUUUGCCAGAAACAACUCUCCUUUCUGUCUUCUCCCAAGGCAGAAGUAGUAGGUACAGGCCUUGCGGCAUCAGACUACAUGCCAGUUAAACUCGGCUGGCCACCGGGUGUCACUGUUUGACAGAAAUCUACUUUUGUAGCCUAAAAUUUCUGUAUAUUUCAUUGGCUUAUAUGCUAGAAGUUGCAGGUUUUGUUCCAAAAUUGUCUUGCCCAUCUAAACCCUCAGUGGAUGGACUUUUAAAAGAACAUUUUCGUAUAUGCUGGUUUUGUUUUGAAUGGAUUUUUGAAAAUGCUUCUGGGCUCAUAAAAGCAAAAGGAGGGGGAAAAAAACUAAAGUACAUCCUGAACAUUUGAGAGAUGCCACAGUGCUAGAACAUGUCAGUAAGAUUUAUUUUCCAACACCUGACUACAAACUUCAGGGUACAUAUCCUUUCAUUCCUCUAUGAAGGAAAAAAAAGAUAUGAAUUAAUAGGCAAAACUUGUUCCUUCAGAAUUUUCAACUUGGAAUUUUGAUUUUUAAUGUUUUUCAGUCUAACAUAAAACCUAUUGAAGCUUCCGGCUAAAUUUAAGGGAAAAAGAUUCUGAACUGAUGAAUUCACUUUACUAAACUGAAAUUGGACGGAAGUGUAAAACAACUCUUCUUUAAAGAAAAUCGUAUUUCAAAAAACUUAAGCUUAAGUGCACCAGUACCUUUUUAGAAAGAAUAGUUUACUUAAGAAAGUGAAUACUUUGGUACAACUUCAGGCUCUCUUACCCAGCUGAUGAAAGUAGAAAACAAAAUAAAAUGUAUUUUUUC